rnacentral:rRNA from 1 species
CACGUAGUUAGCCGUCCCUUUCUGGUUAAGUACCGUCACAGUAUGAACUUUCCAUUCUCACACUCGUUCUUCCUUAACAACAGAGCUUUACGAUCCGAAAACCUUCUUCACUCACGCGGCGUUGCUCGGUCAGGGUUCCCCCAAUUGCCGAAGAUUCCCUACUACUGCCUCCCGUAGGAGUCUGGGCCGUGUCUCAGUCCCAGUGUGGCCGAUCACCCUCUCAGGUCGGCUAUGUAUCGUCGCCUAGGUAGGCCAUUACCCUACCUACUAGCUAAUACAACGCAGGUCCAUCUACUAGCGAUGCAAUUGCAUCUUUCAAGCAUCUAACAUGUGUUACAUACUGUUAUGCGGUAUUAGCUAUCGUUUCCAAUAGUUAUCCCCCUCUAAUAGGCAGGUUACCUACGCGUUACUCACCCGUUCGCAACUCACAGUCUAUGGUGUAGCAAGCUACGGUAUAAACUGUGCGUCCUACUUGCAUGUAUUAGGCACGCCGCAGCGUCGU